rnacentral:rRNA from 1 species
GCUUACGGCCAUACCACCCUGAACACGCCCGAUCGUCGAAGCUAAGCAGGGGUCGGGCCUGGUUAGUACUUGGAUGGGAGACCGCCUGGGAAUACCAGGUGCUGUAAGCU